ACCGACUUGGAAGCCGAGCCCUUCUGCUUGCAACACACACACGCACGCACACGAACGCACGUCCCAAAACAAAAGCAGAACAACUUUGAAAGCAAUGAGAGAGAGAGAGAAAAAGGGAAAGGAAAGGAAAGCUUCAAGACGGCGUCUGGGCAGUUGCGGCCGCCGGGCAACACAAUGCUUCUCGCUUCAGGUCAGAAACCUAGCUUAGUAAUUGGAAAGUGACUCAACUGAAUUUAAACAGACUGAAAUUGACCAGACGCCGGUCCCUUUCUCUCGGGGGCGAGAGCGAGCGAGCGAGAGAUAGAGAAAGGAAGAGAACUAGGGAACUCAGGUCCCCCAAAUGUUAUCCACUCUUCUCAGGAUUCUCAGCCUUUUAACACUUGCGCCAAGAGCGAGGAAGUGUCUGCGCGCGCGCGCCCCAUUCGAAUUUGUGUUUGUCAGAUGGGGUCAAGAACAAAGAGGGCGCCCUCUUGCUCCUAUUAGAUAAAUGGGGAUGGGGUAAUGAGCAGACGAGUUGCCAUAUGGUGUAAGACACGGAUAAACAAGAAACCGUUCCAGACGACAAACGUCCCCUGCUUCGGUCUAUGGGUCGGUUGCUGCGCCAGGCAGGAAAAGAGAAGUUUGAAUGGAAAGCGUGCCAGUAAAUAUUAAGACCAGAAGAAAAGUCUUCGGUUAUUACCCUGUAUUCUUAAAUUUUAAACUUCAGCAAGGGACAAUGCCAAAAAGGAAGACUUUCAAGACAACUAUUGGCACAUUGUUAACCACAACAAGAUAAAAGGAUGCAACAUCAGGACGAUUGUUCUCAUCCAGUCUUGCCUGCCAAAGCGGGUGAUGCCAAAGAAUAAGCGAUGAAUCACUCAGGAUGGUAGCUGGUGCUGCAGAAAAACAAAUUACUUGUGUAAUUGCAACCACAAUGACAUAGAGUAACAUUUGCACUAUUAAUGUUAUUCAUGGGCCUUAUCUGGUAGCACUGCUACUCUGGAGUGGGCUGAACCAAAGAACAGCCAGGAAUAAAUGGCAACCGUAAUACA
rnacentral:lncRNA from 1 species